GAUGAACGCUGGCGGCGUGCCUAAUACAUGCAAGUCGAGCGAACGGACGAGAAGCUUGCUUCUCUGAUGUUAGCGGCGGACGGGUGAGUAACACGUGGAUAACCUACCUAUAAGACUGGGAUAACUUCGGGAAACCGGAGCUAAUACCGGAUACUAUUUUGAACCGCAUGGUUCAAAAGUGAAAGACGGUCUUGCUGUCACUUAUAGAUGGAUCCGCGCUUCAUUAGCUAGUUGGUAAGGUAACGGCUUACCAAGGCAACGAUGCAUAGCCGACCUGAGAGGGUGAUCGGCCACACUGGAAUUGAGACACGGUCCAGACUCCUACGGGAGGCAGCAGUAGGGAAUCUUCCGCAAUGGGCGAAAGCCUGACGGAGCAACGCCGCGUGAGUGAUGAAGGUCUUCGGAUCGUAAAACUCUGUUAUUAGGGAAGAACAUAUGUGUAAGUAACUGUGCACAUCUUGACGGUACCUAAUCAGAAAGCCACGGCUAACUACGUG
rnacentral:rRNA from 1 species